AUUGAACGCUGGCGGCAGGCUUAACACAUGCAAGUCGAACGAGCGGCGGACGGGUGAGUAAUGUAUGGGAACCUGCCCGAUAGAGGGGGAUAACUACUGGAAACGGUGGCUAAUACCGCAUACUAUCGGAUCGGCCGAUAUGGGAUUAGCUAGUAGGUGGGGUAAUGGCUCACCAAGGCGACGAUCCCUAGCUGGUCUGAGAGGAUGACCAGCCACCCUGGAACUGAGACACGGUCCAGACUCCUACGGGAGGCAGCAGUGGGGAAUAUUGCACAAUGGGCGCAAGCCUGAUGCAGCCAUGCCGCGUGUGUGAAGAAGGCCUGCGGGUUGUAAAGCACUUUCAGCGAGGAGGCGUUACUCGCAGAAGAAGCACCGGCUAACUCCGUGCCAGCAGCCGCGGUAAUUC
rnacentral:rRNA from 1 species